UGCCCGUUUCAAAGGGACAGCUCUACCUUUCACUGGGAUAUACCACUGAGGAGGGGGAGGUGUCAAAGCUGUGCAGCUAUGCCAUUUGGUGAGAUGCCAGUCCCCUGAAAGGGGUCCCAAAGCCAAAUCUAAUUCAACCUUUUUUCCCUCCCUAACCCCUCAGCAGGAAAAGCAAUCAGCCUUGGGGAUUUCUAUAUACCUCUCUCCUAAAAAGGCUGCCAGAAUCCUGGGGCCA
rnacentral:lncRNA from 1 species